AGUGAACGCUGGCGGUAGGCCUAACACAUGCCAGUCGAACGGCAGCACAGUAAGAGCUUGCUCUUACGGGUGGCGAGUGGCGGACGGGUGAGGAAUACAUCGGAAUCUACUUUUUCGUGGGGGAUAACGUAGGGAAACUUACGCUAAUACCGCAUACGACCUACGGGUGAAAGCAGGGGAUCUUCGGACCUUGCGCGAUUGAAUGAGCCGAUGUCGGAUUAGCUAGUUGGCGGGGUAAAGGCCCACCAAGGCGACGAUCCGUAGCUGGUCUGAGAGGAUGAUCAGCCACACUGGAACUGAGACACGGUCCAGACUCCUACGGGAGGCAGCAGUGGGGAAUAUUGGACAAUGGGCGCAAGCCUGAUCCAGCCAUACCGCGUGGGUGAAGAAGGCCUUCGGGUUGUAAAGCCCUUUUGUUGGGAAAGAAAAGCAGCAGGUUAAUACCCCGCUGUUCUGACGGUACCCAAAGAAUAAGCACUGGCUAACUUCGUG
rnacentral:rRNA from 1 species